rnacentral:rRNA from 1 species
GAUGAACGCUGGCGGCGUGCCUAAUACAUGCAAGUCGAGCGAACGGACGAGAAGCUUGCUUCUCUGAUGUUAGCGGCGGACGGGUGAGUAACACGUGGAUAACCUACCUAUAAGACUGGGAUAACUUCGGGAAACCGUAGCUAAUACCGGAUAAUAUUUUGAACCGCAUGGUUCAAAAGUGAAAGACGGUCUUGCUGUCACUUAUAGAUGGAUCCGCGCUGCAUUAGCUAGUUGGUAAGGUAACGGCUUACCAAGGCAACGAUGCAUAGCCGACCUGAGAGGGUGAUCGGCCACACGGGAACUGAGACACGGUCCAGACUCCUACGGGAGGCAGCAGUAGGGAAUCUUCCGAAAUGGGCGAAAGCCUGACGGAGCAACGCCGCGUGAGUGAUGAAGGUCUUCGGAUCGUAAAACUCUGUUAUGAGGGGAGAACAUAUGUGUAAGUAACUGUGCACAUCUGGACGGUACCUAAUCAGAAAGCCACGGCUAACUACGU